rnacentral:rRNA from 1 species
UACGAAGGGUGCAAGCGUUACUCGGAAUUACUGGGCGUAAAGCGUGCGUAGGCGGUUCGUUAAGUCUGAUGUGAAAGCCCUGGGCUCAACCUGGGAAUUGCAUUGGAUACUGGCGGGCUAGAGUGCGGUAGAGGAUGGCGGAAUUCCCGGUGUAGCAGUGAAAUGCGUAGAGAUCGGGAGGAACAUCCGUGGCGAAGGCGGCCAUCUGGACCAGCACUGACACUGAGGCACGAAAGCGUGGGGAGCAAACAGG